GCACCAUUUUACAAUCUCACCAGCAAAGUAUGAAGGUUCUAAUUUCUCCACAUCCUUGCCAAAACUUUCGUCUGUCUUGUUGAUUACAUCCAGUCUAAUGGAAUAAUUUUGGCUGCUCUUGGGCCUUAGGCCAGGCACAGUGGCUCACACCUGUAAUCUCAGCACUUUGGGAAGCCGAGGUGGGAGGACUGCGUGAAGCCAGGAGUUCAAGCUGUGACCAAUGGCAUCUGUAUUUCACUGUUGAACAGCAGCAGUGAUUAACGGGCACCCUUCUCCUUUCCUGAUUUUAAAGGGAAUCCUUCUAACAUUUCACCCUAAAAAUGAUGUUUGCUCUAAGUUUUUGAUUAAUAUUCUUUAUCAGGUGUGGCAACGUGAUGGAUUAUAUUAAUGGAUUUCUAACAUGAAAUCACCCUUGCAUUCUUGCAUUCAGUCCAGCUUGGUUGAAAUGUAUAAACAUUUUUAUGUACUGCUAGAUUCUGUUUCUAAAUUUUGGUUAGGAAUUUUACACUUAAAAUUAAAUGUAAGAUUGGUAUGUAAUUUGCUUUUUACUGUUCCUGGCUGACUUUCAUAUCAAGACUACACUGGCUUUAGAAUAAAUGGGGGAUAUUACUUCUUUUUUUCCUGUCACAGAUUUUGUUUAUUAUUGGAGUUUUCUGUUCCUUGAAUGUUUGGUAAGAACUUGACCAAAAUCAUUUGAGUCUGAUGUUUUCUUUAAUAAAAUAUUUAAAACUAAAUGCUAUAUUUA
rnacentral:lncRNA from 10 species